rnacentral:rRNA from 1 species
CGGCCUGAGAGGGUGAACGGACACACUGGAACUGAGACACGGUCCAGACUCCUACGGGAGGCAGCAGUAGGGAAUAUUGCUCAAUGGGCGCAAGCCUGAAGCAGCAACGCCGCGUGGAGGAUGAAGGUUUUAGGAUUGUAAACUCCUUUUGUCAGAGAAGAUCAUGACGGUAUCUGACGAAUAAGCACCGGCUAACUCCGUGCCAGCAGCCGCGGUAAUACGGAGGGUGCAAGCGUUACUCGGAAUCACUGGGCGUAAAGAGUGCGUAGGCGGAGUGGCAAGUCAGAUGUGAAAUCCUAUGGCUUAACCAUAGAACUGCAUUUGAAACUGCCACCCUAGAGUGUGGGAGA